GAUGAACGCUGGCUACAGGCUUAACACAUGCAAGUCGAGGGGAAACGACGGGGAAGCUUGCUUCCCCGGGCGUCGACCGGCGCACGGGUGAGUAACGCGUAUCCAACCUGCCUCUGACUGUGGGAUAACCCGUCGAAAGUCGGCCUAAUACCUCAUGGCAUCGUCUGCGGGCAUCCAACGACGAUUAAAGAUUUCAUCGGUCAGAGAUGGGGAUGCGUCUGAUUAGCUUGUUGGCGGGGUAACGGCCCACCAAGGCGACGAUCAGUAGGGGUUCUGAGAGGAAGGUCCCCCACAUUGGAACUGAGACACGGGCCAAACUCCUACGGGAGGCAGCAGUGAGGAAUAUUGGUCAAUGGGCGAGAGCCUGAACCAGCCAAGUAGCGUGCAGGAUGACGGCCCUAUGGGUUGUAAACUGCUUUUAUGCGGGGAUAAAGUGAGGGACGUGUCCUUCAUUGCAGGUACCGCAUGAAUAAGGACCGGCUAAUUCCGUG
rnacentral:rRNA from 1 species